CAGGACGAACGCUGGCGGCCGUGCCUAAUACAUGCAAGUCGAACGGCUUUUCUAUGGAAGCUUGCUUCCACUGAGAAGAUAGUGGCGAACGGGUGAGUAACACGUGGGUAACCUGCCCAUAAGAGGGGGGAUAACAUCCGGAAACGGGUGCUAAUACCGCAUAGUUUUCUUGAUCGCAUGAUUGAGAAAGGAAAGACGGCCUUUGUGCUGUCGCUUAUGGAUGGACCCGCGGCGUAUUAGUUAGUUGGUGAGGUAACGGCUCACCAAGACGAUGAUACGUAGCCGACCUGAGAGGGUGAUCGGCCACAUUGGGACUGAGACACGGCCCAAACUCCUACGGGAGGCAGCAGUAGGGAAUCUUCCGCAAUGGACGAAAGUCUGACGGAGCAACGCCGCGUGAGUGAAAGAAGGUUUUCGGAUCGUAAAACUCUGUUGUCAGAGAAGAACAAGUUGGAGAGUAACUGCUCCAGCCUUGACGGUAUCUGACCAGAAAGCCACGGCUAACUACGUGCCAGCCGCCGC
rnacentral:rRNA from 1 species